AUGCGUGUUCAGGGGCACAAGAGAGAAGCGCGGGACCCCGAGGGGGGCCCUCGGGCUGGAGGCGGCGUGGGCGGCCAGGAAGGACAACUUAGGGCGGGAGGGGCCCUCCUCGGGGGCACCUGUCGGGAAGUCUGGGGGUGGCGGCGACCCGGGGUGAGGGAGGCGGUGGGCGGGGGCGGGGGCGGGGGCGGGGGGGCUGCCGGCCGCUCCCGCUGCCACCUCCGGCCCAGCUCGACGGCAGGGCAGGUCCCCGGCCGGGGUCGCUGGGGCUCGGGCGGAUGCUCGCAGCCCGCGGGUCGUGCAGGGGCCGCGGGGGCCCCGGGAAGCGCCGCCGCCCACGUGGCCGCCGCUCGGGCCCCGCCGCCCCCCGCGGGCGCCCCGGGUCAGGGCGUGCGGGCCGCGGGGGGGGGCGCCGGGGCGGGCGGGGGCGGGCGGGGGCGGGGCCCGCGGGCUCCUACCUGGGCCGCCCCGCCCCGCCCGCCACGUGACCGCGCCCCGCCCCGCGCGCCUGCGCCCUGCCGGCGCCCCAUUGUUGGCCGCGCGCGCGUCACGGGGCGGGGCGGGGCGCGGAGGAGGGCGGCGGGCGGCGCGCGGGAGGGAAGCAGCGUCCGCGCCGCCGCCGCCGCCGCCGCCGCCGCCGCCGAGCCCGCCGCCGAGCAGCGAGAGGAGUCGCGCCGCCGCCGCCGCCGCCGCCGCCGCCGCCGCCGCCGCCGCCGCCGCCGCCCGCGGCCCGAGCAGCCCCCCGCCGCCCGCCCCGCCGCCCGCCCCGCCGCUGGAUGCCGGCGGCCGGCGGCCCAGCUCUCAGAGGCGGAGCGCGGCGGCGCGGGCGGCGGCGGCGGCGGCGCGGGCGGCCGGCGGGCGAGAGGCGGGGGCGCGGGCCCGAGCGCUAGCGCCGCCAUGCCCGGCUCCACCGGCCAGCCCGACGGCGGCGGCGGCGACCCCAGCCCGCGCCCCCCGCCGCCGCCGCCGCCCGCGGGCCCCGAGGAGGCCGCGCCCGCCGCCCGCCCCGCCGCGCUGCGCCUGGCGCUGGAGCAGCUCUCGGGGCUGGGGCUGGGGCUGCGCGGCGCGGGCGGCGCGGGCGGCGCGGGCGGCGCGGACGACGAGGGCGCGGGCGGCGGGGACGGCGCGGGCGGCGCGGACGGGGCGGCGGAGCCCGCGCCCCCCGACGGCCGCGAGCCGGCGGCGCCCGCGGGGCCCGAGGCCGCGGCUCCCGGCCCGCUGGCGCUGCUGGACCCGGGCGGGAGCCCGCCGCCGCCGCCGCCGCCCCCCCUCCCGGCCGCCGCCCGACGUGUUCGCCGGCUUCGCGCCCCACCCCGCGGCCCUGGGCGC
rnacentral:lncRNA from 1 species